rnacentral:misc_RNA from 1 species
AACGCACAUUGCGCCCUCUGGUAUUCCGGAGGGCAUGCCUGUUUGAGUGUCAUUAAUCUCUCACGGAGACCUUUGGUCUCUGUCGAAGUUGGGAGCUGCGAAAUCCGAAAGGUUGACGCUCUCCUCAAAUGCAUUGGUGCGGCCCGCCGCCCGGUUUACACAACGUUCUAGGUUCGUCCAACUCGUUGCCUGGCCGGUGCAAUCUUGGUGCUGCACCUAAAGCCCGCCUCGUGCCUCGUGCUCUUGGCAUAUCUUCAUUUAUUGACCUCAGAUCAGGUAGGAAUACGCGCUGAACUUAA